CUAGGGCGGCGGUUAGGUUCCCUCAAUUGUCUCGCGGGGCCCUCAGCUUUUACUUUCGAUUUCUCCUCAGGAAAGGCGCUCGAACUUCAAGGGGAGGGGAUGUGGGGUGGGGGUGGGUUCGUGUGUGCGAGUGAGUGUAGACCCGGUGGUUUUUGGAGUGUCCCAGGAGCGAUGAUGGGAGACUAGAAAGAGGUGGGACUGCCUCCCCACCCCCAUUCACAGUUCUCAUUCCCCAACACAUAGCACUCCCGUCUGCAGUCUUGGGGAAGGGCUUGGCCAAGGUGGGAACACGUGGCUCUCUUUCCGUUUGUCCAGGAAGACUCCCGGAAUCCAUUUGAAUCCAUUUAUUCCAACAGCAUUUCUUUCAGGGACAAAUCCCAGCCCCAGAAGCCACCCCAGAUCGAAGCCAUAUCCCCAUUCCUCCAAUGGUACCUCCAUUAUCAACGUGCUUAACUCUGAGCGAAGGAAGAUGAAUCAGAAACCUUCCUCCCUCAGCAAGAAGCGGGGUCUCAUUCUGUACUUUUACAAAAUGUAAAUACUUAUUCUCCAAGACGCUCCGGUAUGCCUGACAUCUUCCCUUCUCCUUUUCUCUACCUGCUCUUCCCAGUAUCGCCCCCCAACCCCAACCCUACAAGAGGCAGGUUCUAAUCACCCCCAGCCGUUCUGAGCCUCUAGGGCUCUGCACUCCAAAGCUAAUGAUUCCCAGCCCAUGUUGAUCCUGUGCUUGGUUCUAGAAACCAGUCUGACCACUUCGCUCAUUUCCCAAGCCUCACUCCCUGGGCUUCCAAGCUCUCCAGAUUGGGGUGAGACACGGAUGGGGGCCCGCCUUGGCUUCACUUAAAAUGAAUGGAUUUGCCCAGAAGGAGUGGAUCAAAGUGGAACGCUUCCUGCCAGCUUCAGGAUUUUUAAUUCCUUUCCUCUCUCUCCUACGAUCCUUCCCACCCACCUCCUUUCGGAAAAUAAGUGGGCUUUUUUUUUUUUAACUCAACCCGGAAAGAGCUCUCCUUGACUCCUUUCCAUUCCACUGCUUGUCAGUCAAACAGUACCAACAACAGCAUUUAUUGAGCAUCCACAGUGCAGAAUCCAGACCGGACGCAGUGAGGCAUGUUUCAGUAACAGAAUGACCCUGCCCUGAGAGAGCUUACUAUUAGGAAGAUUCUGGGCACAGGAAACAGCUUGAGAGCCGACAGAAAGCAACAGAGAUCUCUGCAGGAGUUAAAAUUCUUUUAGUUAUCGUCUUAUAAAGCCAGAUUCCCAGUUUGAAUCUGUGGCUAUUUAAAGGAUGCCAAAUUACGAUGUGAUACAAGCUCUCUACAAAAAAUAGGAAGAUCAAUCUCGUAAUAGGAUAUCAGGCACGACAUCUGGAAGAAUGUUGAGAAAAUUCUGGAGGCAAUCUUCAAUACACAUUCAAUUCUAGAGAUUUCAAGAAGCUAUCCCCUUUGGGCAUUGGAUGUAUUUUGAAACUUCAUGGAAAAAAGUUCCAUUUACAUUUUGGAGACCACAUUCCAUUGUGAUGAACUGUUAGAAAUCUUAUUGUCUACUGGAAAAGGUGAGUAUCUAUUCCAAGAUAGACAUGUCCAGUUUGGAGGCAACUUUGUGAGUUCAAGAGAUCAGGAGUUCUUGAGUCACCUCCUUUUGGAACUGAAUGGGGACAGAAGAGUAUUCUCCAGCUACUACUCUUUGAGAGACUACCAACUUGAGAUGACUACCAACAACAAGAUUGAUAUCAGUAAACAUAUAAAAAGACUUUAGACUGUACAGAGUGAAAUAGAAAUUGAUCAAUUGGCUGUUCUAUAUGGAUGAGGUUUAAUUAUUAGUUUUCUAAUUAGACUAUAGUCUAAUGGUAGUUUAAUGUUAAAUCUUAACUCCUGAUUCUUAUUUUAUAUCAUUGUUAAUGUUCUCUGUGAAUCUUUUAUGUUUAA